GUUUUAGAUGUAUUAGAUGUUAUUAGAUGUUAUUAAGAUGUUAUUAGAUGUAUUGAUGUAUUAGAUGUAUUAGAUGUUAUUAGAUGUUAUUAGAUGCUAUUAGUUGUUAUUAGAUGUUUAGAUGUUCAUUAGAUGUUAUUAGAUUCAUGUAGAUGUUACUUAGAUGUUAUUAGAUGUUAAUUAGAUGUUAUUAGGAUGUUAUUGAGAUGUAUUAGAUGUUAUUGAUGUAUUAGAUGUUAUUAGAUGUAUUAGAUGUUAUUAGAUGGUUAUAGAUGUAUUAGAUAUUAGAUGUAUUAGAUGUUAUUAGAUGUUAUUAUAUGUAUUAGAUAUUAGAUGUAUUAGAUGUUAUUAGAUGUUAUUAGAUGUUAUUAGAUGUUAUUUGAUGUAUUAGAUGUUAUUAGAUGUAUUAGAUGUAUUAGAUGUAUGAGAUGUUAUUUGAUGUAAUAGAUGUUAUUAGAUGUAUUAGAUGUUAUUAGAUGUAUUAGAUGUAUUAGAUGUAUUAGAUGUUAUUAGAUGUUAUUUGAUGUCAUUAGAUGUUAUUAGAUGUUAUUAGAUGUUAUUAGAUGUUAUUAGAUGUUAUUAGAUGUAUUAGAUGUUAUUAGAUGUAUUAGAUGUUAUUAGAUAUAUUAGAUGUAUUAGAUGUAUUAGAUGUUAUUUGAUGUUUUAGAUGUAUUAGAUGUUAUUUGAUGUUAUUAGAUGUAUUAGAUGUAUUAGAUGUUAUUAGAUGUUAUUAGAUGUAUUAGAUGUUAUUAGAUGUAUUAGAUAUUAGAUGUAUUAGAUGUAUUAGAUGCUAUUUGAUGUAUUUGAUGUAUUAGAUGUAUUAGAUGUUAUUAGACGUUAUUGCAUGUAUUAGAUGUUAUUUGAUGUUAUUUGAUGUAUUAGAUGUUAUUAGACGU
ensembl:lncRNA